AGAGUUUGAUCCUGGCUCAGGAUGAACGCUGGCGGCGUGCCUAAUACAUGCAAGUCGAGCGAACUGAUUAGAAGCUUGCUUCUAUGACGUUAGCGGCGGACGGGUGAGUAACACGUGGGCAACCUGCCUGUAAGACUGGGAUAACUCCGGGAAACCGGAGCUAAUACCGGAUAACAUUUUUUCUUGCAUAAGAGAAAAUUGAAAGAUGGUUUCGGCUAUCACUUACAGAUGGGCCCGCGGUGCAUUAGCUAGUUAGUGAGGUAACGGCUCACCAAGGCAACGAUGCAUAGCCGACCUGAGAGGGUGAUCGGCCACACUGGGACUGAGACACGGCCCAGACUCCUACGGGAGGCAGCAGUAGGGAAUCUUCCGCAAUGGACGAAAGUCUGACGGAGCAACGCCGCGUGAGUGAUGAAGGCUUUCGGGUCGUAAAACUCUGUUGUUAGGGAAGAACAAGUACAAGAGUAACUGCUUGUACCUUGACGGUACCUAACCAGAAAGCCACGGCUAACUACGUGCCAGCAGCCGCGGUAAUACGUAGGUGGCAAGCGUUAUCCGGAAUUAUUGGGCGUAAAGCGCGCGCAGGCGGUUUCUUAAGUCUGAUGUGAAAGCCCAC
rnacentral:rRNA from 1 species